UUUUCUUUUUUCCUUUUUUCUGUUUCGUGUUUUCUUUUUCUUUUUGUUUCCUUUUUCUUUUUCCUGUUUCUUCUUUUAUUUUUCUUUUUUUCUUUUUUCUGUUUCCUGUUUUCUUUUUCUUUUUGUUUCCUUUUUCUUUUUCCUGUUUCUUCUUUUAUUUUUUCUUUUUCCUUUUUUCCGUUUCCUGUUUUCUUUUUCUUUUUGUUUCCUUUUUCUUUUUCCUGUUUCUUCUUUUAUUUUUAUUUUUUGUUUCCCUUUUCUGUUUUCUUUU
rnacentral:lncRNA from 1 species